UACGAAGGGGGCUAGCGUUGUUCGGAUUUACUGGGCGUAAAGCGCACGUAGGCGGAUUGGUCAGUUAGGGGUGAAAUCCUGGAGCUCAACUCCAGAACUGCCUUCGAUACUGGCGAUCUUGAGUCCGGGAGAGGUGAGUGGAACUCCGAGUGUAGAGGUGAAAUUCGUAGAUAUUCGGAAGAACACCAGUGGCGAAGGCGACUUACUGGAUCAUUACUGACGCUGAGGCUCGAAAGCGUGGGGAGCAAACAGG
rnacentral:rRNA from 1 species